rnacentral:rRNA from 1 species
UACGAAGGUGGCAAGCGUUAUUCGGAUUUACUGGGCGUACAGGGAGCGUAGGCGGUUCGGUAAGCCCUUUGUGAAAUCUUCAGGCUUAACCUGGAAUAGUCGGAGGGGACUGCCGGGCUAGAGGACGGGAGAGGAGCGCGGAAUUCCCGGUGUAGCGGUGAAAUGCGUAGAUAUCGUAAGGAAGACCAGUGGCGAAGGCGAAUCUCUGGACAGUUACUGACACUGAGGCACGAAGGCCAGGGGAGCAAACGGG